rnacentral:sRNA from 1 species
AAUAUCAGUUUUUUGGUCCUUCAAGAUUUUAAGGAAGAGAGGCUAAAAUGGUGUGGUGAAAGGAAGGUAUGUAAAUCAGACACUAUGGGUCUUGUUUUAGUUAUUAAGGCAAUGGUCUUGUUUUAGUAACUAAUCUUACUCCUAAUACACAUGAUUAUAUGGUGGAUAUUUUAACUUUUGAGCGGAAUAAGUUAGAGUCCAAAUUAGCAAUUGUCCAAAGAGUUCUCAAUGGAGAAAUAAACAUCAGUCCCGAUCUUGAUGUGGUCUUGGAAAAGAAUGGUUUUUAAAAAUAUGGCAAGACAGUGAACUCAUCAAGAAGCUAUGACUACGUCCCAGAGGAUCUUAUCUCGAUGAUUAGAGAUCCUUCAAAAUAGAUGCAUUAAAGGCAUAAUUAGAUUACGUGAAUAAAAGACUGGGUACUAUCAACUCUGAAAGCCAGAAGCACUCUGGAUCAAUAAGCUAGAUGAUUUUGAUAAAGCACUUGAGGUAUGAAUGAAUUAGUUUUAUGAUUCUCCACAACAAAUUAUGUGUCUGUUAUUUGAACUGAACUUUCUUAAUAUUGCAAGGACUCUGGUCAAGACUCUCAAGUUAAUGGCGAUUAUAAUAUUUAGUGCAUAGAUGGCACAAAUAUAAUUUCCAUUCUUAUCUAUAAAUGAUUAUGGUAUAACUGUCUACCAAAGGUUCCAAAAUUAGUAUUUAACAAAAAAAAUAUUUCA